CACCCGAUAACUUAAAGUAAGUACAGAUCUUUUAAAUCUGCUAUAGUAUACUCACGACUACUUCUGGUG
rnacentral:tRNA from 1 species